rnacentral:rRNA from 1 species
UACGUAGGGGGCGAGCGUUGUCCGGAAUUAUUGGGCGUAAAGCGCGCGCAGGCGGUUCUUUAAGUCUGAUGUGAAAGCCCACGGCUUAACCGUGGAGGGUCAUUGGAAACUGGAGGACUUGAGUGCAGAAGAGGAGAGUGGAAUUCCACGUGUAGCGGUGAAAUGCGUAGAGAUGUGGAGGAACACCAGUGGCGAAGGCGGCUCUCUGGUCUGUAACUGACGCUGAGGCGCGAAAGCGUGGGGAGCAAACAGG